UACGGAGGGUGCGAGCGUUGUCCGGAAUCACUGGGCGUAAAGGGCGCGUAGGCGGCUCAUGAAGGCUGUGGUGAAAGUCCGGGGCUCAACCUCGGAUCGGCCGUGGCGACUCGUGGGCUGGAGCACUGUAGAGGCGGGUGGAAUUCCUGGUGUAGCGGUGGAAUGCGCAGAUAUCAGGAGGAACACCGAUGGCGAAGGCAGCUCGCUGGGACGGUACUGACGCUGAGGCGCGAAAGCGUGGGGAGCGAACAGG
rnacentral:rRNA from 1 species